rnacentral:rRNA from 1 species
UUAUCCUACUUGGAUAACUGUGGUAAUUCUAGAGCUAAUACAUGCACCAAAGCUCCGACUUACGAACGAGCGCAUUUAUUAGACCAAAACCAAUCGGGCUCCGGCUCGUUUGUUGGUGACUCUGAAUAACUAAGCUGAUCGCACGGUCUUGCACCGGCGACGUGUCUUUCAAGUAUCUGCCUUAUCAACUUUCGAUGGUAGUUUAUGUGCCUACCAUGGUUGUAACGGGUAACGGAGAAUAAGGGUUCGACUCCGGAGAGGGAGCCUGAGAAACGGCUACCACAUCCAAGGAAGGCAGCAGGCGCGCAAAUUACCCACUCUCGGCACGAGGAGGUAGUGACGAAAAAUAACGAGACCGUUCUCUAUGAGGCCGGUUAUCGGAAUGGGUACAAUUUAAACCCUUUAACGAGGAUCUAUGAGAGGGCAAGUCUGGUGCCAGCAGCCGCGGUAAUUCCAGCUCUCAAAGUGUAUAUCGUCAUUGCUGCGGUUAAAAAGCUCGUAGUUGGAUCUGCGCCUCAGGACUCGGUCCGCCCACUGGGUGUGAACUGGGAUUCUAGGCUAAUACUGCUGGUUUUCCCUUCGUGGCCUUCAUUGGUUGCGUUGGGUGGCUAGCGAGUUUACUUUGAAAAAAUUAGAGUGCUUAAAACAGGCUAUUGUCUGAAUACUCGUGCAUGGAAUAAUAGAAUAGGACCUCGGUUCUAUUUUGUUGGUUUUCUGAACUGAGAUAAUGGUUAAGAGGGACAGACGGGGGCAUUCGUAUCGCUGCGUGAGAGGUGAAAUUCUUGGACCGCAGCGAGACGCCCUACUGCGAAAGCAUUUGCCAAGAAUGUCUUCA